CCCGUGCUCUUCUCCUCUCCUUGUGAUAUCCCAAACCCGAACUUCCUCCUCACUUCCCCGAUCUCCCCUCUUCCUCUCUCUGUUAUCUCUCGUGAACGAGCGACGUCGCCGGAAACGAGGUCCCAGUUCCGGCGAUCUUCCUCCACCAACAUCGAUGUCUUAAGCUCAGGUCCAGUCGGAGUUUUUCCUCUCCGAAUCGCCAUCGAAUCGCGCCCUCUCGCGUCUCACUGCCAUCAUCGAUCGCUGGCGCAAAUCGGGGCUCGGAGCACAUAGGUGAGGAGCUAGCUUUGAUUCUUCUUCUUCCCUUUUGCCAUGUGCAACCGUGCCCUAAAUCCCUUCCAUCGGCUCCGAUCAGUCGUCGCGACGACAAGCCGUGCCCUAACAGCGAUCCUUAAGGCAUCGGAUUGCUGUGGAUUCUUCUUGUUGCCGAUCACUGCUUUCUUCUUUCUUGAAACUGUGGAGGUGUCGGAGUAAGUGAGGUGAGGUAAGGUUCUGUUCUUGCUGUGGAGUUGUUCUUGGUUCCGGCAACUCUCCAACAGCAGCUACCUUUUCUGGCAGCAACAUACUUGUGCUGUGGAUCAAUGGAUUAGGUUUGUGAGGUUCUAUGGCUAUCUUGGUUUCGGCAGCACCCAACCAGUAGCUCCUCUAGUUUCAGCAAUCAACAGUGACUGUUAAUUGAGGUUCUCAUCUAGUCCAGCAGCUUAAUUAAGGACUCUGAUUCGAGACAGGCGUCUCGACCUUGGAUUGCUUGACAGUACCUUCUAUUUGAGGCGGAUACCCUUUGACUUAUCUUUUGAUACUGUCUUAUGAUAUGUAUAGUUUAUAUAUAAUUACUAGGGGUAGAUGGUAGAUUUAGCACUUCCCUGGUUAUAGGUUAUUCGAUACCUAUAGACGGUUACUAGUGAUUGGUAGUUCAACACUUCCCCUGGAUUUAGAUUUGGUUGAUACUUGAUACAGGCUUCUACUGUUAUCUGCUAUACAUUAGGCUGGUAUACCUUUACUUCUUACCAUGUGUAUAUGUGUUCGUGGAUAUGGAUAUUUAUAGUGCUUCACUAUACUGGAUUAGUCGUUAUACAUAUUGGAUAUGUGAUGUUGGAUUCAUAUUGCUUAUAUCGUUGUUAUAUAUGUGUCCUUGGAUUUAUGCUGCUUCUUUCAGGGUUAUUUAUGUGUGUACCUUUUUGACACACACACACAUAUAUAUAUAUAUAUAUAUGGAGGAGGAUAUGUUCAGGUAUGACAUACUGUAGCCGCACGCACCAUAUCGCAUGAUUGUAUGCUGGGCGAUUGACGACUCCAUU